rnacentral:siRNA from 1 species
CAUUCGUGGCUCGGGAUGCUC